GUUAGUAACACGUGGAUAACCCACCUAUAAGACUGGGAUAACUUCGGGAAACCGGAGCUAAUACCGGAUAAUAUAUUGAACCGCAUGGUUCAAUAGUGAAAGACGGUUUUGCUGUCACUUAUAGAUGGAUCCGCGCCGCAUUAGCUAGUUGGUAAGGUAACGGCUUACCAAGGCAACGAUGCGUAGCCACCUGAGAGGGUGAUCGGCCACACUGGAACUGAGACACGGUCCAG
rnacentral:rRNA from 1 species